GUCUACUGCCAUGCCACCCUGAUCAAGCUGGAUGUCUGAUCUCAGAAGCUAAGCAGGGUCGGGCCUGGUUAGCACUUGGGUGGGAGACCACCUAGGAAGACCAGGUGCUGUAGGCA
rnacentral:rRNA from 1 species